AUGAAAUGAGGACAGAAGCGACCGCGAACUGAAAAAGGGAGUAGUAGUGGGACGAAGGCACCAAUGGAAAGUACCAACAGCAAUCCUUAUCUAUUAUUCCUUGACGACUACUUAAAAAAAGCAAGAACGGCAGAGACUGGUCCGAGGUUUUUUGUAACACAGCAUAGCUCAGUAGCUGCGGCAGCAUGGAACAAUAUGUCUGAUGUUGAGAAAGCACCAUUCUUGGACAUGGCCAACGAAAGAA